rnacentral:rRNA from 1 species
AUGAAGCAGGCAGCUUCUAGGCGCCGUCUCCCAAAAGCUCGAACCCGAGUGGGUCGAGCCACCCCCCGGCAGCGAUCUACAGCAGGACCCUGCCGGAAGCAGCAACUCCACCAUAACAAUGGCGCCGCCCCAUGUAUCUCAGAACUGCCGAUGUCACACUCGCAUCAUUUGCCAGAAACUUCACCGACGCCCGCCGUCGCGGCCCUGCAUGCGCGCGUCAACAGGAGCAUCUCCCGCACUGGCCUCGACCGCCUCUCGUCGUCUCUGCACUCUUUGCUGCUACAUCAUAGGGAUCCGGUGGUGGAGUGCAGGAGGAAGGUGGGGGAUGUGGUGGAGUAG